AGAAGAAGCAGACAGCAGCGGGAGUAAUGGGCGCUGUUCCGAGCGUGGCUUCAGCGAAUAGUUCGCCACAAACCCACGAACCACUACUGUUGCUGGUGGAUACUUCCAGGUUCCGUUCCUCCUACAAGUAUUCACCAUGUUCCCGUUUAAGCAAGAGGCCUGACCGACCACCACGUAAAGUGAUUGUCCUCGAUGACAACGCCAGACCCCACACUGCAGCCGUCAUUUGCGCAGAAUUUUGGGUAAUGGGAUGGACGCCACCGGAACGCCCUCCUUUUAGCCCUGACUUAUCGCCAUGUGACUUCAACCUGUUUGGGCCACUCUAGGCCACUCGAAGAAAAUCUUGGAGGCCAACGAUUCGACGACGACGACGACGCAGUGGAGGAGUUUGUGCGCCAACUGGCUGUUGACACAACCCACUUCAUUUUAUGAAGAGGGGAUCAAAAAACUACCAACCCGCUGGGAAAAAUGCAUUUCUACAU